AUGAAGAAUCAUAAAGUUAAAUAUUAGAAAAAAGAAUACUUAAACUUGUCAUAACCUUAGUCAUUUGAUUUGAGAAAGAGUAAAUCCAACCAUUGAUAUUUUGAAAUCCAUGUGCUUGGUCACUCUUGAUGUUCAUUGGUCAAAAAAAUAAAUCAAGGAUCAUGGUUUGACACCAUAGAUUAGUCAAUACUAAAUCUGAACCAUUCAUUUCUUCAAUCUCUAAAAUCAGAAAUCUAAAAUCAACUCUCUAAAAUCUCAGCCAUUUACUCUCAAAAUCCAACGGUUCAGAUUAUACCUAAAAACUAAGCCUAAAAUUCCCUACUAUAUAAACCCUUUUUAAAACUUCCCCUCAUUUUUCGCCUCUUUCUGAUAUUUCUCUCCUCUCAUUCAGAUCUAAGUUCCCAUAAUGCAUUCCAAUCUCACUCCUCAAAGCCCUCGCAGAUAUCUUCAACUCCCAUUUUGUUCAAAGCUUGUCUCCCUCUUCGGUAAUUAGGGGAAACCCUUCAUUUCUUCUACUAAAUUGUGUCAAUGCCCAUUGAUUUGCAGGAGCUAUGAAGUGGCAAAGAUGAGGAAUUUAUCGAACUAAGUGGUUGCAACUAACAAAAUAUAAUGUAAAUAGUGGCAAAGACGAGGUUUGAUGAUGGUAGAUGGGAGUUCAUCUGGAAGAGUAAAUAGUGGUGAAAAGAAAGGUGGCAGAUUUUUAUUUUUUAUUUUAAAAGUUGGACGAAUGUGAUGCAAACCAAGUCAAAAUCUUUUGCAACUAACUUAUGCUUUUUCUUUCAAUACGCAGCUAUGUACUUGAUGGAGUGUCGAGAAUGAGGGAGCAACCCAUUGGGGAUUUGGUAGCAGGUUUAAAACAACUUGGCACAAAUUAAUCCCUGAUUACUUUGAUGAAAAUUAGGAGAUGAAAAUUGUUGUCUGCUUGAGUUAUCAUCACAUUCUUUGUAUCAUGAAUGUAAUAUUAUUAUAGUAUAGAGUUUACAAAGUAUGAUCAAAGGAAGUAGUUGCCCAAUGUGAUCUUGGACAAAAAAGGAUUUCCUAAUGCGCUUUGCAUAAAUUUGGUUAAACAUAGUUAGCAUAUACUGACUUGAUUCAAUAAAGGGACUUGAUUCAAUA